UACGUAGGGGGCAAGCGUUGUCCGGAGUUACUGGGCGUAAAGCGCACGCAGGCGGUCUUUUAAGUUUGGAGUGACAGUUGGUGGCUUAACUGCCAAAGUGCUUCGAAAACUGAAAGACUUGAGGGCUUCAGAGGGACACGGAAUUCCGGGUGGAGUGGUGAAAUGCGUAGAUAUCCGGAGGAACACCGGUGGCGAAGGCGGGUCUCUGGGCCGAUACUGACGCUGAGGAGCGAAAGCGUGGGGAGCGAACAGG
rnacentral:rRNA from 1 species